rnacentral:misc_RNA from 1 species
GGCAGUGGCAUGAAACAAUGCGUAUCAUUGGUUUGGAACUGAUGGAUUCUAGGAUACUAUUAAUGAACUCAAUGGUGAUGGAGAAAAAAAAAGCUGAAACACCUCAGGGUGUUGCCAAAUUGUUCCUCGUUCAUGCAUAUAAAAAGAGAUGUACUAUGUGGGUAUAUGCUCGAAGGCUUGAUGCAUACAUACUACGCGUUGGGAUAAGCAUGCAGAGAUGACUAAAAUCAAAUCAAUCUUCCUCGUGUUAUCGAUAUGUUUAGGAAGUGUACGUGGGGGCCUGGGUCUGUUGGAUGAAGGUGGUUCGAGUCAGUGCCUACAAAAUAGACUUAUCACCAAAGAUGGUUGCACAGCAGCAUCCUUAAUUAAACGUAGCAGAAGCUCAACAUUCAAUUACAUCCAGGGAAUCACUACUUGGAGAAAUAUGCACGCCUAUAUGUGCCCAAAACAAUGAACCAAGUACAGAAAUUCACUACCUGAGGGCACAAGUGAACUUGCGGGUCUUGAUUUACUAGGGCACAUGAAGCCAAGGUUCAGAUUAGAAGUCAGUGUCACAACGCUAGAGUCAUCAAUUACACGAGAAAUUCUUACAAGUUCAUUUUGCCACCACUGUCUCUGAUUCAAGAUCCACCAGAGAUCAAAUUGAUUAGUUUGUAAACUUUUAUUUUUUU